AAUAAAAAACCUAGACCCCUAAGACUUUAGCUAUCAGCCAUUAUUCUAAAGCUGGCACCCCAAAAGAAAAUCAAGGAAGCUUCUUUCUUCUUCAUCUUGGACAAGACCAAAAAUCAAAAACACCCUGAAGAGGACCUACUUCCGAAAAAAGGCUUGAGAGCACUCAAAAAUUGGAGACUCUCGUCUCUCUAUUAUACACGCCGGCGGAUUCCCCUUCCCCACCUUCAGACUUCAAUUUUCUUUGUGUUUUCAAUUGGAAAACAAACACAACACGCACGCACACAUUGGAAAAGGAGGACAGAUUUGGGGGGAAGAGAAUAAGAUUUAAGAAAAUUUGGGUUCAAAAAUGGUGUCAGGUUGAAAUGGGUGUCCGAUUUGGAGUGUCUGUUUGAGAUCGAUUCUGGGUUCCGGUUUCAUCUUGCUGCUGUAUUUUUAUCGGGCUUUCUUCUUGGCAAAGCAAUGUGGAAAUUUUCUUUACAUAUCAAAUAAGAAGCACUUAACAGGUACCUCGGAGUGUGCGGGUCAUCAGUUAGUUGAUUGUGAGCUGCUGUGGAGACUUCAAGGUAUACCUGCCAUCCUAUUCGCAAGCUCCGGAGUCGCCUUCUGUUGUCUUUAUUUACCGCUGUUUAUUUCUAUUCCGGAACAGUUGUACUUACAGACUUUUCUAGUGAACUCAGUAGAGCUUAUGACUUGUACAACCGGUUUUGUGAUAUUAUACAUCUAUUGUGGUUGUUGGCUAUA